rnacentral:rRNA from 1 species
UACGUAUGGGGCGAGCGUUGUUCGGAAUUAUUGGGCGUAAAGGGCGUCUAGGCUGGAAGUUAAGUUGGUUGUGAAAUCCACGGGCUCAACCCGUGAAUUGCAUCCAAAACUGAUUUUCUUGAGUUCGGGAGAGGAGAGCGGAAUUCCUGGUGUAGCGGUGAAAUGCGUAGAUAUCAGGAGGAACACCGGUGGCGAAGGCGGCUCUCUGGCCUAGAACUGACGCUGAAGCGCGAAAGCGUGGGUAGCAAACGGG